UACGAAGGGGGCUAGCGUUGCUCGGAAUCACUGGGCGUAAAGCGCACGUGGGCGGAUCUUUAAGUCAGGGGUGAAAUCCUGGAGCUCAACUCCAGAACUGCCCUUGAUACUGGGGAUCUUGAGUCCGGAAGAGGUGAGUGGAACUCCGAGUGUAGAGGUGAAAUUCGUAGAUAUUCGGAAGAACACCAGUGGCGAAGGCGGCUCACUGGUCCGGUACUGACGCUGAGGUGCGAAAGCGUGGGGAGCAAACAGG
rnacentral:rRNA from 1 species